GGCGGCAUGGCAUAGUGGGGUAGAGCCUGGGCUUGGGAAUCAGAAGGACCUGGGUUCUAAUCCCAGCUCCACCA
rnacentral:tRNA from 1 species